AAGUAGUGCUUAUCCAUAACCAACUCAUCUAUUGCUGAUUAAACAUGAUAUUACAGACAAUGAAUGGAUUAAUUUGCAGCCUAGUUUUUACCAUCAAAUCACUGCAAUAUACAUCUUGUGCAUGUGUGGAACAGAUCAUAAUAAAUCAUGAUUUCUUCACAAGGAACACGUGGCUUAAUCAAAAGAACACAACUGAGAGACAGUAAAGAAAAUUUGGGGAGAGGCAAUUGUAGGGCCUCACAUGAUUAGCACUCUAUACGAAAGAAAUUCCAUACUACAAAAAGUACUUCAUCCGAUCA
rnacentral:misc_RNA from 1 species